rnacentral:misc_RNA from 1 species
UCGAAAAAUGGUUACUUACAGGGUGAGUUCAAACGCAGCCUCACUACUCGAUUUCUCUCUUUGGUGAUUGUAUUUGUGGUUUUUCAAUCCUCAUUUUAGCACGAUUUUUUUGUUUUAUGGGUUAUAUCUUACUUUCUUUGGUUACUGGGAAAAUAUGCGAAUUUUUACUUGAUGCGUGCUUGAUGACGAUUUCUAAAUCACUUUCCUUUUCCUUUCACUGGAUUUCCAAGCAACCAAGCCAUUUUCUACAUUUUGAGCUGGUUUUUUGUGGCUUGCUUUGUUUCGUCAUUGCUCUAUUAUUUUUGGAUUUUUGGUUUAUAUAAGUUUUAUAUUACUAGAUUAAUUUGUUUUACUUGUUUGGAUAAUCCACUUUCAGUUGUAUUCUGUUGGUUUCAUGAUCUAUCUGAUAUCUCUUAAAACACCAGAUAAUAGGAUCCAUUUCCCAUAGAUUUAGGAACUCAGGAGUUUGAACCAUUUAGCUUUCGUGGUAAUAAGGAUUUGAAUGGUAUGAAAUUGUCAUGGAAAGUGUUGUUUUGCUAUUGUUUUUAUGGGAACUUUUUUAGCAAUUGCAUACCAGGUUUGGAAGUAAUUCCUUUAGGAAAAAUUUAACUUUGGCCCCCUUUUUUUUUCCGAUGGUGGGUGCAGUUUCACCAGUACCAGGUUG